rnacentral:rRNA from 1 species
AUACGGAGGGUGCAAGCGUUAUUCGGAAUCACUGGGCGUAAAGGACGCGUAGGCGGGUUGGCAAGUCAGAUGUGAAAUCCUACAGCUUAACUGUAGAACUGCAUUUGAAACUGCUAACCUAGAGUAUGGGAGGGGGAGAUGGAAUUAGUGGUGUAGGGGUAAAAUCCGUAGAUAUCACUAGGAAUACCGAAAGCGAAGGCGAUCUCCUGGAACAUAACUGACGCUAGGGCGUGAAAGCGUGGGGAGCAAACAGGAUUAGAAACCCCAGUAGUCC